rnacentral:lncRNA from 1 species
AAUUUAAACAUGCAAAUGUAAACUUGAUCAAUUGGCAAAUAAAAGAUAUGAAUGAAUGGAGUUGUUGGGGUUUACAAUUUCAUCCAUAUCCACCCUCCUUUAUCUACAAUUCUUAUUAAAUUCCCUUCAUUAAGAGAGUUAUUCAACAUUCAAAGUUCAAGCACAUACUCUCUUUUAACCAAUCUCACCCAUCCCCAACUUUUCCCUUUUCUUUUACUUUUACAUUGAGCUCACCUUUCAUGCUUUUUCUUUUCUUUUCUUUCUUUUCUCAUGCUUUUUUUUUUCAUUCAACACUUGAGCUCAAUGCCUUUCUCUUGCCUUUUAAUUUCCCCCAACAACCCGAAACUUGAACCUUUAUCAAUACCAUUCAAUUACUCUCAACUCAACUCAAG